rnacentral:tRNA from 1 species
CAAAGAAUAGUUUAAUGAAGAAUCUUGGCUUUGGGAGCCAAGGGUAGGGGUUUAAGUCCCUUUUCUUUGA